rnacentral:rRNA from 1 species
GAAAUCUAUUUAGGUAGAGCGUCAAUCGAAUACUCCGGGGGGUAGAGCACUGGAUGGGCUAGGGGGUCUCACCGACUUACCAAACCUAACCAAACUCCGAAUACCGAUGAGUAAUAUCUGGCAGACACACUACGGGUGCUAAGGUCCGUAGUGGAAAGGGAAACAGCCCUGACCGCCAGCUAAGGUCCCUAAGUUAUGGCUAAGUGGGAAAGGAUGUG